AAUGAACGCUGGCGGCGUGCCUAAUACAUGCAAGUCGAGCGAAUGGAUUAAGAGCUUGCUCUUAUGAAGUUAGCGGCGGACGGGUGAGUAACACGUGGGUAACCUGCCCAUAAGACUGGGAUAACUCCGGGAAACCGGGGCUAAUACCGGAUAACAUUUUGAACCGCAUGGUUCGAAAUUGAAAGGCGGCUUCGGCUGUCACUUAUGGAUGGACCCGCGUCGCAUUAGCUAGUUGGUGAGGUAACGGCUCACCAAGGCAACGAUGCGUAGCCGACCGGAGAGGGUGAUCGGCCACACUGGGACUGAGACACGGCCCAGACUCCUACGGGGGGCAGCAGUAGGGAAUCUUCCGCAAUGGACGAAAGUCUGACGGAGCAACGCCGCGUGAGUGAUGAAGGCUUUCGGGUCGUAAAACUCUGUUGUUAGGGAAGAACAAGUGCUAGUUGAAUAAGCUGGCACCUUGACGGUACCUAACCAGAAAGCCACGGCUAACUACGUGCCAGCCGCCGCAGUAA
rnacentral:rRNA from 1 species